CAAAAGUUCUCCAACGGAAAGUUCCCAGAUGGAUAUGCCGAGCAAAUGCGAAGCAAUCCAUCUAGCGGAGUCAGGUUAACCAAUGACUCAUGA